rnacentral:rRNA from 1 species
AUGGGAGGUGGACACAAGGAGAGCGGUUGCGACACAAACAGCAGAGGGCUUGGGGGCUACUACCCGAGCGCCUACUCGUCUCCACCCAUCGCGUACCCUGCAUACCCUCCUCCACAAGCCGGGCAUGGAUGCCCUCCGGCCUAUUACCCUCCACAGCCACAGGGAUAUGGGCAUGGCUAUCCAUCAGCAGGAGCAUACGGGUAUCCACCCUCCAGCUAUCCACACCAUCAAGGUGGCUAUCACGGUCACGGAGGGUCCUUGCUUGUUGCCGGCGGUGCGGCGGCUGCGGCGGCCUAUGGCGCGCAUCACAUGAGCCAUGGCCAUCACGGUCACGGCGGAUACUACCACCGUCCUGCGGGUUACCAUCAUCACUACGGCGGCAAGUUCAAGAAGCAUGGACGCUACGGUUAUGGGCAUGGCGGCAAGUUCAAGCAUGGCAAGCACAUGCGCCUCUUUGUAGGGAAGCAUGGCCUCUUUGGUGGAAAACACAAGUGGAAAUAG